UGCAGUCGAGCGAAUGAUGAGGAGCUUGCUCCUCUGAUUUAGCGGCGGACGGGUGAGUAACACGUGGGUAAUCUGCCUGUAAGACGGGGAUAACUCCGGGAAACCGGGGCUAAUACCGGAUAAUAAGAGAAGACGCAUGUCUCCUUUUUGAAAGUCGGUUUCGGCUGACACUUACAGAUGAGCCCGCGGCGCAUUAGCUAGUUGGUGAGGUAACGGCUCACCAAGGCGACGAUGCGUAGCCGACCUGAGAGGGUGAUCGGCCACACUGGGACUGAGACACGGCCCAGACUCCUACGGGAGGCAGCAGUAGGGAAUCUUCGGCAAUGGGCGAAAGCCUGACCGAGCAACGCCGCGUGAGCGAUGAAGGCCUUCGGGUCGUAAAGCUCUGUUGUUAGAGAAGAACAAGUACGAGAGUAACUGCUCGUACCUUGACGGUACCUAACCAGAAAGCCACGGCUAACUACGUGCCAGCAGCCGCGGUAAUACGUAGGUGGCAAGCGUUAUCCGGAAUUAUUGGGCGUAAAGCGCGCGCAGGCGGUCUCUUAAGUCUGAUGUGAAAGCCCACGGCUCAACCGUGGAAGGGUCAUUGGAAACUGGGAGAAUUUGAGUGCAGGAGAAAAAAAGUGGAAUUC
rnacentral:rRNA from 1 species